rnacentral:misc_RNA from 1 species
AAUUCUCAAAACCCUUUUCUUUGACCCCCUUUUCGGUCUAGAAGAGAGGAUUUUGGACUUGGAGGUUUGAUGCUUGCUUUUGGGUCUCAAAAGUGAGCUCCUCUCAAAUGAAUUAGUGGGGUCUGCUUUGCUGGUCCUUGACGUGAUAAGAUGUUUUGACGUUUUGGACUUGGCAUGGUCUAUUGGACACCUGCUUCUAACUGUCCAUCUCGUGGACAAAUGAUGGUGCUCUGGUCUCCUCCACCCACGUUGGCGGGGAGGCUGGACCCACAAAGAAAA